CUCCGCUGAAACCCCUAAUUUUUCCCCCUCUUCUUCGCAGUCUAUGAGCAUUUCGCUUCUUCACCUUUUUCAAACUCAUUUCUUUAUCCUCUUCUUUCUUUUUCUCGGAUCUUCUUUCUCCCUCUCUCCAAAGUUCUUCGAUUCUUUCCGUCUCCUUUUCUCUCCCUCUCUGGUAAUUUCAUCUUUCCGAACAGGGCCGGUCUAGCCAAUCUCUACCAGGGCGGUUUAAUGUUAACCUUCUAGGGUCAAAAGAUCCAAGGCUCUCAGAGCAUCAUUGCUAAACUCACCAGCCUUCCUUUCUAGCGGUGUCAGCACAGCAUCACCACCAUCGAUUGUCAACCCUCCGGUGCUGGCGGCAUGUUGGUUUUCGUCAGUGGUACCCUCCAACUCGUCAGUGGUUUCGAUUCGUAGGAGCCAAUUAUUAACACAUAUGCCAACUUUAGAGAUGAUGUUCUUCCCUGUAUUAAAAGACUUGGGUACAAUGCUGUUCAGAUCAUGGCUAGUCAAGAGCACUCAUAUUAUGCUAGCUUCGGGUAUUACCUCCAUCGUAAUAUUGGCUCAUAUCUAUUUGUUGCUGUGUAUGUUUGUACUAUGUGACAAACUUCUUUGCACAUAGUAGCCGCUUUGGAACCCCUGAUAACGAUAAGUCACUGAUAGAUAAGGCUCAUGAGUUGGGUAUACUUGUUCUUAUGGAUAUUGUGCACAGAUGGGCUGAACAUGUUUGAUGGAACUGAUGGUCAUUACUUCCACUCGGUGUGGGAUUCUCGCCUUUUUAAUUAUGGAAGCUGAGAAGUACUGAGGUAUCUUUUUUCAAAUGCAAGAUGGUGGCUGGAGGAGUAUAAGUUUGAUGGGUACAGAUUUGAUGGUGUGACUUCAAUAAUGUACAUCCAUCAUGGGUUGUAGGUAUUAUAUAUGACUGAAUUUGGAGAUUCUCCAAUUUCAUGAUGUAAUAUAAUAAGUUAUUCAUAUGCUCAGAUGUUAAUUGCCCAGUUUUGACAUUAUUUUGAAGCUGAUGUUACAUUUGGUUCUUGCAAGUAGUGAAGCAUCAUUCUUUAUGUUUGUUUCUUAACAAUUUUUGCUCGAGGACUAAAUGGUCUCCAUGUAAUUACGAUUAAGAAGAAAAAUCAAGGUAAAAGCUUGUGGUUUUUUGUCUUUCCGUUCCUUCUCUAUCCACUGUAUGGGUUUCAGAAAAAGAGCUUUGCUUACUCUUGCUAUUAAAGUCAAGUUAGUUUCCUAUUUGAUCUUCUAAUUUUCCUUCUUUGAUUCGUGUUUUUUUUUUGUGUUAAAGUGUUUGCAAUUUUGUUUGUUUUUGGAGAAAUCUAGGAUUAUUGUUGUAUUUUCUAAAACUGAUCUGUUAUUGAUGGAAGUUAACCCUUACAGUUGUUAGUGAUAAACACAUAAAUUUGAAUGUUGAUAAAUUAUUGAAUUAUUAAUUUAUAUUAAAUUAUUGCAUAUAAUCAUUGAAUUGUUUAUUUUACUAAUUAAUUAUACAUAAAUAAUUAGAUAGUUGAUUUUGAGCAAUAUUAUUUGAUUGGCUCAUUUUUGGUAUGGCAAUUUAAAGAGAUUAAUAAUUGUACUUUUUUUAAAAGUUUUUCCCCUGACCAACUAUAAAAUUAAAGUUAAUCAAUUGAAAUAGAUGUAGAUCAUAAGGUAUUUAAGCUGCUACAAUGAGUAGUAUGUUUAGUUUACUAGAGUUUCUUUGGACUUUGGUUUGAUUCAAUUAUCAAAUAUUUAGCUCAGCAUUUGAUUGGUCAGGACUCGGGUCUUUAAAGUUCCUCAAUCAUUUUCUUCCUUUUUUUCAGAAUCAGAUUUGCUUUUUUGCUUGAAUCUUGACUUUAUAAUCAAUUUGGUGGGUCGGGUUGAUUGAAGCUUUAAGGUUGUAUGGUCCUGGCUGGCGCUAAAUAGAAGAGCAUGUAGGCACCAAAUCUGCAGUUCAAAUUCGAAGCCAUGCUCAAAAUUUUUUCUCUAAGGCUCAUUGCUUUGAGUUCAUUACAAGAUAUCCUUGAUUUAGUAAAUGUAUUAUAUUUUUUAUUACCAAGAUUUACUUGAUUAAGAAAAUGCAUUGUAUGUUUUAUUACCUUGCAUAUGUAUUAUUUAUUUUAGUUUUGAUUCUAAAUUUUUAUUUUUA